UGUAUUCGACCUGAGCUCAGGCAAGGCUACCC
rnacentral:rRNA from 2 species